GGAAGCAAGUGUGACUUCUCCACUCUCUUUCUCCUUACACCAGCUCUGGCAGCUGAAUGCAGUGACCUGAUAGAGAUGAUGGAACCACAGAAGGAGCCCGGGAAGGGAGCCGCCUACCAAAUAGGAACAUUCAUUUUGGAUUUUAGAUGAGCGAGCAACAAACUUCAAUCAUGUUUGAGUCAUCAAAUAUUUUAAGAUGUUGAUUGGCUGGACCAUGUAGAAGAUGCAUCUUUAACUUUGGAAGAAACUGCCAGCAGUGUCUGAGAGGUCCAGUCGCUCCACCUCCUCAGCAUCACUUUGUACAGACAGGUUAUUGUUUUAAAAUCUUCGUUCUUCCAG